AUUGAACGCUGGCGGCAGGCCUAACACAUGCAAGUCGAACGAGUGGCGGACGGGCGAGUAAUGUCUGGGAAACUGCCUGAUGGAGGGGGAUAACUACUGGAAACGGUAGCUAAUACCGCAUACCAUCAGAUGUGCCCAGUUGGGAUUAGCUAGUGGGGGGGGUAACGGCUCACCAAGGCGACGAUCCCUAGCUGGUCUGAGAGGAUGACCAGCAACAAUGGAACUGAGAAACGGUCCAGACUCCUACGGGAGGAAGCAGUGGGGAAUAUUGGACAAUGGGCGCAAGCCUGAUGCAGCCAUGCCGCGUGUAUGAAGAAGGCUUUCGGGUUGUAAAGUACUUUUAGCGGGGAGGCGGUACCCGCAGAAGAAGCACCGGCUAACUCCGUGCCAGCAGCCGCGGUAAUUC
rnacentral:rRNA from 1 species